AAAGAACAAGCGGCCGAACGGGUGAAGUAACGCGCGGGGACCGCACCCUUUUGGCGGGGGACAACCUUGGGGAAACCAGGGCUAAUACCGCAUAAUCUCUACGGAGUAAAGCGGGGGAUCUUCGGACCUCGCGCCAUUGGAGCGGCCCGUGUCUGAUUAGUUUGACGGCGGGGUAACAGCCCACCGUGGCUACAAUCGGUAGCUGGUCUGAGAGGAUGAUCAGCCACACCGGGACUGAGACACGGCCCGGACUCCUACGGGAGGCAGCAGUGGGGAAUAUUGGACAAUGGGGCAACCCUAAUCCAGCGUGCCGCGUGUGUGAAGAAGGCUUCGGGUUGAAAGACUUUCGCGGGGAAGAACUUCGCGCUCUAACAUAGCGCGCACUGACGGACCCGAGAAGAGCGCGGCUACUCCGUGCAGCACCGCGGAUACGGAGGCGCAGCGU
rnacentral:rRNA from 1 species